ensembl:lncRNA
AGAGCAGCUAGCUUGGCUACAAGACUGCUCACGUCUAAGCAUUAGCAUUAGCUUUAGCAUUAGCAAGUGUAGUUUCAAUGUCGGUCCUAUGGUGGAAUAGUUUCAAGUGCUUUUCAGAACCAUUUCACGAUAAUCUAUUUGAACAAACAAACACAUUUGAUCAUUUCUAAAAUCUGGAUUAAAGACCGUUCAAAUCAGUCGCGGUUUAAAUGUCAAAUGCGAUUUAUCAAACGGCUAAAGGCAGCGGAGCAGUUUGCAGAUAGGGAGGACGAGUUGCUGUGCAGGCGUCAGUGAGUUAGAGCGUGGCAGAGAGGUUUAUUGCGUACUGUGGCAACCCACGGGCGCAGCACUCCGGACAGCGCCUCAAGAGAGCAGCACAAAGGGCAGGGCACCAACGAGCAAGAGGUCAGGUGACCAGGAGGGGAAACACCCCGCCCCCUCAGGAGACAAUGAGCGGCCCAGGUGCAGCUCAUAAGGCUGAUGAAGGUUGGCCACACUAUAAAAGACCAACCAUCCCAACAGCCCAGCAGACAAGACGAAGGAGACUGAAGGCCGAACAAACCUGCUGAACCGCACCCUCAAAAGAGGAAGAACCUAAGUUUCCAUUUUUUUGUUACUUUGUACGUUAUAAUAAAUCGUACCCUUUUCUUGGGCGACUAGACGUGCUUCUGAGUCCGGCGAUUCCACCC